rnacentral:rRNA from 1 species
CCCUUAGAUGUUCUGGGCCGCACGCGUGCUACACUGAGUGGAUCAGCGGGUCAGGUUGCGCGAAAGCGUUUCCUAAUCUUUAAAUCCGCUCGUGAUGGGGAUUGACGGUUGCAAUUUUCUGUCAUGAACGAGGAAUACCUUGAAAGCGCGGGUCAUCAUCCCGCGCUGAAUACGUCCCUGCCCUUUGUACACACCGCCCGUCGCUCCUACCGAUUGAGUGGUCCGGUGAGGCUUUGGGAUCUGAGCGGAAAGAGCGUUUCGCUGUUUCUGCUCGGAAAACUCAGUCGAACCUUAUCAUUUAGAGGAAGGAGAAGUCGUAACA